rnacentral:rRNA from 1 species
UACAGACUACGGGAGGCAGCAGGGAGGAAUAUUGGUCAAUGGGCGGAAGCCUGAACCAGCCAAGUCGCGUGAAGGAAGAAGGCCCUGCGGGUCGCAGACCUCUUUGGACGGGGAGCAAGGCCGCCGAUGUGUCGGCGGAAGGAGAGUACCCGUAGAACAAGCAUCGGCUAACUCCGUGCCAGCAGCCGCGGUAAUACGGAGGAUGCGAGCGUUAUCCGGAUUUAUUGGGUU